AAUGAAAAUAUGUAAUGAAUUUGCCAGUUAGCGCACGGCUCAAUCCCAUUGAGCCAUUCCCCUGAGCUCGGGGUCCUAGUGACCUCGAGCCUUUUUUU
rnacentral:sRNA from 1 species